GCUGAACACUCUCCUGUGACCGAUAGCGAACCAGUACCGUGAGGGAAAGGUGAAAAGCACCCCGAGAGGGGAGUGAAACAGUACCUGAAACCGUGCGCCCACAAGCAGUCGGAGCAGCCUUUGCGCUGUGACGGCGUGCCUUUUGUAGAAUGAGCCAGCGAGUUGCGGUGUGCGGCGAGGUUAAGUUUGGAAACGAGCCGCAGCGAAAGCGAGCCUUUAAGAUGGCGAGUGAGUCGCACGCUGCAGACGCGAAGCCGGGUGAGCUAUCCUGGGGCAGGCUGAAGCGGGGGUAAGACCCCGUGGAGGGCCGAACCCACUUCGGUUGAAAACGGAGGGGAUGACCCCAGGAUAGGGGUGAAAGGCCAAUCAAACCCGGAGAUAUCUCGUUCUCCCCGAAAUAGCUUUAGGGCUAGCCUCGGCCGUUAACCCGCGGUGGUAGAGCCACCGGAUCGACGAGGGGGCUUCACCGCCUACCGACUCGAACCGAACUCCGAAUGCCGCGGGUCGAGAGGCCGGGAGUCAGAGGGCGUGGGCUAAGCUGCGCGCUCGAGAGGGAAACAGCCCAGACCGCCCGCUAAGGUCCCCAAGUCAUCGCUGAGUGGCAAAGGAUGUGCGUCUGCCCAGACAACCAGGAUGUUGGCUUAGAAGCAGCCAUGCAUUUAAAGAGUGCGUAACAGCUCACUGGUCGAGUGGACAUGCGCCGACAAUUCACGGGGCUAAGCGAUGCACCGAAGCGGCGGACUGAGAAUUCAGUGGUAGGGGAGCUCUCCGCGGGGGGCGAAGCAGCAGGGCGACCUGCGGUGGACCGCGCGGAGGUGAGAAUGCUGGCAUGAGUAACGAGACCAGGGCGAGAAACCCUGGCGCCGUGAGCCUAAGGGUUCCUGGGCGAGGCUAAUCCCCCCAGGGUCAGUCGGGAGCUAAGGCGAGGCCGAGAGGCGUAGCCGAUGCGCAGCGGGCAGACAUUCCCGCACCGCCGACGGCGCGGCAUUACCGAUGGGGCGACGGAGAAGGGUAGCCGGGCGGGGUUCUGGACGUCCCCGUGAAAGCGCGUAGGGCGCGCAGCGUGGAAAUCAGCUGCGCGAGAGGCCUGAGACGCGAGACGAAGCGACUGAGCGAAGCCGGUGAGCCCAUGCUUCCGAGAAAAACCUCUAGGGAGUGCCGUCGGCGCCCGUACCAAAACCGACACAGGUGGGCGGGUAGAACAUACCGAGGCGAUCGGGAGAACCACGGUUAAGGAACUCGGCAUACUGGCCCCGUAACUUCGGGAGAAGGGGCGCCGCCGGCUGUGAACGCCCUCGCGGCGGGAGCGGCUGGCGGCCGCAGCGAAACGGCCCAAGCGACUGUUUAUCAAAAACACAGGACUCUGCAAAGCGGUAACGCGACGUAUAGGGUCUGACGCCUGCCCGGUGCCGGAAGGUUACGCGGAUGCGUCAGCCGAAAGGCGAAGCGCUGAAGCCAAGCCCCGGUAAACGGCGGCCGUAACUAUAACGGUCCUAAGGUAGCGAAAUUCCUUGUCGGGUAAGUUCCGACCUGCACGAAUGGCGUAACGAUUUGGG
rnacentral:rRNA from 1 species